rnacentral:rRNA from 1 species
UACGGAGGGUGCAAGCGUUAUCCGGGUUCACUGGGUUUAAAGGGCGCGUAGGCGGGCAGGUAAGUCAGUGGUGAAAUCCCCGUGCUUAACAUGGGAACUGCCGUUGAUACUAUCUGUCUUGAAUGCCGUGGAGAUGAGCGGAAUAUGUCAUGUAGCGGUGAAAUGCUUAGAUAUGACAUAGAACACCAAUGGCGAAGGCAGCUCGUUACACGAACAUUGACUCUGAGGCUCGAAAGCGUGGGGAGCAAACAGG